UGUUUUCAUCUGAUCACCAAAGUUAAGCAACAUUGAGCCUGGUUAGUACCUAGAUAGGUUACCACUUGGUAAUACCAGGUGCUGUAA